CACCCUUUAAUGUUUGAUGUUCUAACGUGGACCCGUGAUCCGGGUUGCGGACAGUGUCUGGUGGGUAGUUUGACUGGGGCGGUCUCCUCCUAAAGAGUAACGGAGGAGCACGAAGGUUGGCUAAUCCUGGUCGGACAUCAGGAGGUUAGUGCAAUGGCAUAAGCCAGCUUGACUGCGAGCGUGACGGCGCGAGCAGGUGCGAAAGCAGGUCAUAGUGAUCCGGUGGUUCUGAAUGGAAGGGCCAUCGCUCAACGGAUAAAAGGUACUCCGGGGAUAACAGGCUGAUACCGCCCAAGAGUUCAUAUCGACGGCGGUGUUUGGCACCUCGAUGUCGGCUCAUCACAUCCUGGGGCUGAAGUAGGUCCCAAGGGUAUGGCUGUUCGCCAUUUAAAGUGGUACGCGAGCUGGGUUUAGAACGUCGUGAGACAGUUCGGUCCCUAUCUGCCGUGGGCGCUGGAGAACUGAGGGGGGCUGCUCCUAGUACGAGAGGACCGGAGUGGACGCAUCACUGGUGUUCGGGUUGUCAUGCCAAUGGCACUGCCCGGUAGCUAAAUGCGGAAGAGAUAAGUGCUGAAAGCAUCUAAGCACGAAACUUGCCCCGAGAUGAGUUCUCCCUGACCCUUUAAGGGUCCUGAAGGAACGUUGAAGACGACGACGUUGAUAGGCCGGGUGUGUAAGCGCAGCGAUGCGUUGAGCUAACCGGUACUAAUGAACCGUGAGGCUUAACCUUACAACGCCGAAGGUGUUU
rnacentral:rRNA from 1 species